UUAUAGUUAAUUUGUUGAAUUUUUAGCAGUAUAAUAAUGAGCGUUGUGAAAAAAAACUAUACAGUAGAAAUAGCUCGGUAUCUGGCUGUAGAAGUGGAUAUUUCAAUGAAAAAAAAGCGAAGAGAGAAAAGUAACCCAAAACUUUUCAAAGCUCCUAAUGAUGACUAGGAUCCUAGCAUCGACAAAGAAGAAAGACAUCCUAACUUGCUACAGCAUUGGCAAAGGGCAGUUCCCCAGACAAAAUACUUCGCAGUAGUGAUGUGUUUUAUGCACUUAUUU